rnacentral:rRNA from 1 species
AUUGAACGCUGGCGGCAGGCCUAACACAUGCAAGUCGAGCGGUAGCACAGAGAGCUUGCUCUCGGGUGACGAGCGGCGGACGGGUGAGUAAUGUCUGGGAAACUGCCUGAUGGAGGGGGAUAACUACUGGAAACGGUAGCUAAUACCGCAUAACGUCGCAAGACCAAAGUGGGGGACCUUCGGGCCUCAUGCCAUCAGAUGUGCCCAGAUGGGAUUAGCUAGUAGGUGGGGUAACGGCUCACCUAGGCGACGAUCCCUAGCUGGUCUGAGAGGAUGACCAGACACACUGGAACUGAGACACGGUCCAGACUCCUACGGGAGGCAGCAGUGGGGGAUAUUGCACAAUGGGCGCAAGCCUGAUGCAGCCAUGCCGCGUGUGUGAAGAAGGCCUUCGGGUUGUAAAGCACUUUCAGCGGGGAGGAAGGCGGUGAGGUUAAUAACCUCACCGAUUGACGUUACCCGCAGAAGAAGCACCGGCUAACUCCGUGCCAGCCGCCGCGGUAA